rnacentral:rRNA from 1 species
UACGUAGGGUGCAAGCGUUAAUCGGAAUUACUGGGCGUAAAGCGUGCGCAGGCGGUUGUGCAAGACAGAUGUCGAAAUCCCCGGGCUCAACCUGGGAAUUGCAUUUGUGACUGCACGGCUAGAGUGUGUCAGAGGGGGGUAGAAUUCCACGUGUAGCAGUGAAAUGCGUAGAGAUGUGGAGGAAUACCGAUGGCGAAGGCAGCCCCCUGGGAUAACGACUGACGCUCAUGCACGAAAGCGUGGGGAGCAAACAGG